UGAAAACGUUUUAAAAUAUAUCUGUUCUAUAAUUUCGUUGAAAUGAAAAAGAAUGGCCAAUUUUACGAUUGGAAGGAGAUUAUUCUUCUUUAUGUCAACGAAAAAAUUUUUUAAGGAGGAAGAACAAGA
rnacentral:sRNA from 2 species